rnacentral:lncRNA from 1 species
GGGACAUUAGGGUUAUAUACUGUUAUUGAUCAGUGGUUAGAGGGACAUUAGGGUUAUAUACUGUUAUUGAUUAGAGAGACAUUAGGGUUAUAUACUGUUAUUGAUUAGAGGGACAUUAGGGUUAUAUACUGUUAUUGAUUAGAGGGACAUUAGGGUUAUAUACUGUUAUUGAUUAGAGGGACAUUAGGGUUAUAUACUGUUAUUGAUCAGAGAGACAUUAGGGUUAUAUACUGUUAUUGAUUAGAGAGACAUUAGGGUUAUAUACUGUUAUUGAUUAGAGAGACAUUAGGGUUAUAUACUGUUAUUGGUUAGAGGGACAUUAGGGUUAUAUACUGUUAUUGAUCAGUGGGACAUUAGGGUUAUAUACUGUUAUUGAUCAGAGAGACAUUAGGGUUAUAUACUGUUAUUGAUUAGUGGGACAUUAGGGUUAUAUACUGUUAUUGAUUAGAGAGACAUUAGGGUUAUAUACUGUUAUUGAUUAGUGGGACAUUAGGGUUAUAUACUGUUAUUGAUUAGAGAGACAUUAGGGUUAUAUACUGUUAUUGAUUAGAGAGACAUUAGGGUUAUAUACUGUUAUUGAUCAGAGGUUAGAGAGACAUUAGGGUUAUAUACUGUUAUUGAUCAGAGAGACAUUAGGGUUAUAUACUGUUAUUGAUUAGAGGGACAUUAGGGUUAUAUACUGUUAUUGAUUAGUGGGACAUUAGGGUUAUAUACUGUUAUUGAUUAGAGGGACAUUAGGGUUAUAUACUGUUAUUGAUUAGAGGUUAGAGAGACAUUAGGGUUAUAUACUAUUAUUGAUCAGAGAGACAUUAGGGUUAUAUACUGUUAUUGAUUAGAGGGACAUUAGGGUUAUAUACUGUUAUUGAUUAGAGGGACAUUAGGGUUAUAUACUGUUAUUGAUUAGAGAGACAUUAGGGUUAUAUACUGUUAUUGAUUAGAGAGACAUUAGGGUUAUAUACUGUUAUUGAUUAGAGGGACAUUAGGGUUAUAUACUGUUAUUGAUUAGUGGUUAGAGAGACAUUAGGGUUAUAUAUUGUUAUUGAUUAGAGAGACAUUAGGGUUAUAUACUGUUAUUGAUCAGAGAGACAUUAGGGUUAUAUACUGUUAUUGAUUAGAGAGACAUUAGGGUUAUAUACUGUUAUUGAUCAGUGGUUAGAGGGACAUUAGGGUUAUAUACUGUUAUUGAUUAGAGAGACAUUAGGGUUAUAUACUGUUAUUGAUCAGAGAGACAUUAGGGUUAUAUACUGUUAUUGAUCAGAGAGACAUUAGGGUUAUAUACUGUUAUUGAUUAGAGGUUAGAGAGACAUUAGGGUUAUAUACUGUUAUUGAUCAGAGAGACAUUAG